UACGGAGGGUGCAAGCGUUACUCGGAAUCACUGGGCGUAAAGAGUGCGCAGGCGGGCUUGUAAGUCAGAUGUGAAAUCCUGUAGCUUAACUACAGAACUGCAUUUGAAACUAUGAGUCUAGAGUGUGGGAGAGGUAGGUGGAAUUCUUGGUGUAGGGGUAAAAUCCGUAGAUAUCAAGAGGAAUACUCAUUGCGAAGGCAGCAUACCGGUGCACAACUGACGCUCAGGCACGAAAGCGUGGGUAUCGAACAGG
rnacentral:rRNA from 1 species